rnacentral:rRNA from 1 species
GUCGAGCGAAUCUAUAGGUAAGCUUGCUCUCUGUAUGGUUAGCGGCGGACGGGUGAGUAACACGUGGGCAACCUGCCUGUAAGACUGGGAUAACACCGGGAAACCGGUGCUAAUACCGGAUAAUCCUUUUCCUCUCAUGAGGAAAAGCUGAAAGUCGGUUUCGGCUGACACUUACAGAUGGGCCCGCGGCGCAUUAGCUAGUUGGUGAGGUAACGGCUCACCAAGGCGACGAUGCGUAGCCGACCUGAGAGGGUGAUCGGCCACACUGGGACUGAGACACGGCCCAGACUCCUACGGGAGGCAGCAGUAGGGAAUCUUCCACAAUGGACGAAAGUCUGAUGGAGCAACGCCGCGUGAGCGAUGAAGGCCUUCGGGUCGUAAAGCUCUGUUGUUAGGGAAGAACAAGUACCGGAGUAACUGCCGGUACCUUGACGGUACCUAACCAGAAAGCCACGGCUAACUACGUGCCAGCAGCCGCGGUAAUACGUAGGUGGCAAGCGUUGUCCGGAAUUAUUGGGCGUAAAGCGCGCGCAGGCGGUCCUUUAAGUCUGAUGUGAAAGCCCACGGCUCAACCGUGGAGGGUCAUUGGAAACUGGGGGACUUGAGUGCAGAAGAGGAAAGCGGAAUUCCACGUGUAGCGGUGAAAUGCGUAGAGAUGUGGAGGAACACCAGUGGCGAAGGCGGCUUUCUGGUCUGUAACUGACGCUGAGGCGCGAA